UGCGUAGGCGGUCCCGCAAGUCCGCUGUGAAAUCCCCGGGCUUAACCCGGGAAUGGCAGUGGAAACUAGGGGACUUGAAUCUGGCAGAGGGGGGUGGAAUGCCACGUGUAGCAGUGAAAUGCGUAGAGAUGUGGCGGAACACCGAUGGCGAAGGCAGCCCCCUGGGCUGAGAUUGACGCUCAGGCACGAAAGCGUGGGGAGCAAACAGGAUUAGAUACCCUGGUAGUCCACGCCCUAAACGAUGAUCACUAGGUGUUGGGGAAGCGAUUUCUCAGUACCGCAGCUAACGCGUGAAGUGAUCCGCCUGGGGAGUACGGUCGCAAGAUUAAA
rnacentral:rRNA from 1 species